CAGUUGAGAAGAAAAGAUUGUGACUAAUAAUUGCAAUUCAUGACGGUAUCAACAGAAGAAGCACCGGCUAACUACGUGCCAGCAGCCGCGGUAAUACGUAGGGUGCGAGCGUUAAUCGGAAUUACUGGGCGUAAAGGGUGCGCAGGCGGUUCUGUAAGUCAGAUGUGAAAUCCCCGGGCUUAACCUGGGAACUGCGUUUGAAACUACAGAGCUAGAGUGUGGCAGAGGGGGGUGGAAUUCCAUGUGUAGCAGUGAAAUGCGUAGAGAUAUGGAAGAACAUCGAUGGCGAAGGCAGCCCCCUGGGUCAACACUGACGCUCAUGCACGAAAGCGUGGGGAGCAAACAGGAUUAGAUACCCUGGUAGUCCACGCCCUAAACUAUGUCAACUAGUUGUCGGGCCUUAUUAGGUUUGGUAACGUAGCUAACGCGUGAAGUUGACCGCCUGGGGAGUACGGUCGCAAGAUUAAAAACUCAAAGGAAUUGACGGGG
rnacentral:rRNA from 1 species